rnacentral:rRNA from 1 species
GAGUCGUGCGGGGUGGUAGCAUACCAUCUAGCGGCGAACGGGUGAGUAACACGUGGAUGAUCUACCUUCGAGAUCGGGACAACUAACCGAAAGGUUAGCUAAUACCGGGUAUGACCACGGCCAGUAUCAUCUGGCUGAGGUAAGAGCAGGGGACCGCAAGGCCUUGCGCUUGAAGAUGAGUCCGCGGCUGAUUAGCUAGUUGGCGGGGUAAUGGCCCACCAAGGCGACGAUCAGUAGCCGGCCUGAGAGGGUGACCGGCCACACUGGGACUGAGACACGGCCCAGACUCCUACGGGAGGCAGCAGUAGGGAAUUUUCCACAAUGGGCGCAAGCCUGAUGGAGCAACGCCGCGUGAGGGAUGAAGCAUUUCGGUGUGUAAACCUCUUUGGAGCGGGAAGAACGCCGUUUGGGUGAACAAUCCAGACGGGUGACGGUACCGCUAGAACAAGACACGGCUAACUUCGUGCCAGCAGCCGCGGUAAUACGAAGGUGUCAAACGUUGUCCGGAAUUAUUGGGCGUAAAGGGCGCGUAGGCGGCCAGGUAAGCGAGAUGUGAAAGCUCUGGGCUCAACCCAGGAAUUGCAUUUCAUACUGCUUGGCUUGAGUUCGGUUGAGGAGGGCGGAAUUCCAGAAGUAGCGGUGAAAUGCGUAGAUAUCUGGAGGAACACCCGUGGCGAAGGCGGCUCUCUGGUCCGAUACUGACGCUGAGGCGCGAAAGGUAG